CCUACGGGAGGCUGCAGUCGAGAAUCAUUCACAAUGGGGGAAACCCUGAUGGUGCGACGCCGCGUGGGGGAAUGAAGGUCUUCGGAUUGUAAACCCCUGUCAUGUGGGAGCAAAUUAAAAAGAUAGUACCACAAGAGGAAGAGACGGCUAACUCUGUGCCAGCAGCCGCGGUAAUACAGAGGUCUCAAGCGUUGUUCGGAAUCACUGGGCGUAAGGCGUGCGUAGGCUGUUUCGUAAGUCGUGUGUGAAAGGCGCGGGCUCAACCCGCGGACUGCACAUGAUACUGCGAGACUAGAGUAAUGGAGGGGGAACCGGAAUUCUCGGUGUAGCAGUGAAAUGCGUAGAUAUCGAGAGGAACACUCGUGGCGAAGGCGGGUUCCUGGACAUUAACUGACGCUGAGGCACGAAGGCCAGGGGAGCGAAAGGGAUUAGAUACCCUAGUAGUC
rnacentral:rRNA from 1 species